GCUUGUCUCAAAGAUUAAGCCAUGCAUGUCUCAGUAUAAGCUUGUGCAUAGUGAAACUGCGAACGGCUCAUUAUAACAGUUAUAAUUUGUUUGGUGUUCAAGUUUACAUGGGUAACUGUGGCAAUUCUAGAGCUAAUACAUGCUGUUUUGCCUGACUCUGUGGUAAGGCUGUGCUUAUUAGUACCAGAACCAACCCGGGCAACCGGUCCUUUGGUGAUUCAUGAUAACUUUGCGAAUCGCAUAGCUUUAAUGCUGGCGAUGGGUCAUUCAAAUUUCUGCCCUAUCAACUUUCGACGGUAGGAUAGAGGCCUACUGUGGUGAUAACGGGUAACGAAGAAUAAGGGUUCGAUUUCGGAGAGGGAGCCUGAGAAACGGCUACCACAUCCAAGGAAGGCAGCAGG
rnacentral:rRNA from 1 species